rnacentral:rRNA from 1 species
GACAGAGGGUACAAACGUUGCUCGGAAUCACUGGGCGUAAAGGGCGUGUAGGCGGGAAGGAAAGUCAGAUGUGAAAUCCCUGGGCUCAACCCAGGAACUGCAUUUGAAACUCCCUUUCUUGAGUGUCGGAGAGGAAAGUGGAAUUCCUGGUGUAGAGGUGAAAUUCGUAGAUAUCAGGAGGAACACCGUGGCGAAGGCAGCUUCUGGGAC